rnacentral:misc_RNA from 1 species
GCCCCGAUCUAAGGAUUGGCAUGUCAACAUGUUAGGGUUUUGAUAUGGAUUGGAUUUAAGAAGAAAUGCCCUUCAUAGUGAAACCUUUCGUCAUAAAAUAUAUGAGCGAUUCGGCCUCAAAAUGUAAAGGGUGUAAAUUUAAGAUAGGUUCGGGCUGUUUAGUGCUCGGGGUCGUGGCGGAUCAAGGACCUGAUAAACCUGUGAGGUGUAGGACUAGCUGGUUCCACUACAAGUGUUUCUGGACUUCGUGUGUUUACAAAAAUCAUCUCCGGGGCGUGGAUCCAGAAACUCUCAAUGAGAUUGUGUUCGGAAUCAAUGGAUUGUCCAAGGCUGACAAAUUCAAUUUCCAGAACGAGGCCAGCAGCCCGCCAGCCUCUUCGCGCAAGCGUACUGGGAGGUCGACAGAGAGUAGUAUCAUCGCCGCAAAGGAUUGUGGGAGUGUUGAGGGCGGGGACUACGAGGUGAAUGAAAACGUGUUUGAUUUAACUGACCUGCUGUGUGUUACUGUUUAUAAACAUCAGACCAACAUUUACGUCAGUUUAAGGGAAUUCUUCCUCCUUAAGGGAUCUAAUAUCGCCAAGCCGUCCAAACGAGGAAUUUCUCUGAACAAACUCCAAUGGCGGGAGCUGUGUUCAAUUCAAAACGGGAUCGAGGCGGCCACGAAAAUUAUGGCUGCCAGAGAGUCCAAAUCUAAGGAAGCGAAAACAAAGGGGAAAGAUCAGAGGGUGAAAGAAGAGGGGGAGGAGGAAGAAGACGACGAGCCAGGUAUAGAUGUGUGUGUUGGGGGGGGGGGGGUGACGUAAAGAGGGUGUGGCACCAUUGAGCUAAACACGACCAUGUCAAUCGAACAACAACCUGUACAAUGUACUUUUAUGAAUCAAAGAUCCUCGCAGAAUUAAUUUCAAAGCAGCACCGAUUAUUGACUUUCUUAAAACUUACUAUAUAACAGCUCAAUUAUUAACAUUUUACACUUAUUCUUGAGAAUCAUAUUUGGUUUUAAAUAGUUUUCUUAUGUUUUUAAUCAGGUCAGAUUCUGUUUUCGUUGUCGUGGAAACGGCGUGUAAGCGUGCAUCAGCACCAGGAGGAAGUGUUCGUCGACAUCCGGGAAUAUUCCGAGGAUCGGACUUUCCAGCGCUCCACGAAAGGAGUGGCCCUGACCAAGCCUCAGUGGACCAAACUAAGGGAGGAAAUGCCCAACAUUGAGGCCCUUGUGCAGCAUAUGGAAGUCUGACUUCGCUUGUGUGGAUGCAGACGAUCUCUGAAUGAUUUAACUAUCCAUCCAUUUGUUUGCGCAUUUCUUGACUACUGUAGAACUGCAAACGUCUGGGUGGCUUUACUUUGAUAUCAAAAUGGAUCUCUUACUUUGACAUGACUUGGCUAGAUUGUCAUGUUUAUUUUAUGCUUAGCAUGUUGGAUGGAACAAAAAUUAGGCUAAGAACAUUGAAAGGCCUAUGAGAGCAUUUUUACUAUGUUUUGAUUGGUAAAUCCAGAGGCUAUCCAAAACUUUUGUUUUAGUGUGUCUGCUUUCAUUCAAUGCUUUCUCAUUACAAUUUUGUAUAUUGUUUUAUCCUGAUGAAAUUCAUACUGUUUAAGUACCCAGUCUGACUGCUCAUGGUAAAGCUGUUGCGCAUGCCUAUAUAGAUGACUGUACUGAAUGUUUUAUUGUCUUUGAAUUAUUUUUUUUAUAAAUCUGCCGCUAUAAUUGUUUCAUAUGUGGAAAUUCAUCAUAAAACUGCUUUUGAAGCAAAAUCACUUG